AUAGAAGGUGAUGCUCCUACCUUAUCUGAAGUGUCCGAGGCUCAAACACUGCAUAAUACUUCCUCUGCUUGUUCUUCCAUCAGGGAUUUCUCGUCACUAUGCUUAUAGGGGCCCACGUCCUGCAGGAAAGAGAUUUAAGCAUGAAAGAGAUUGAAGACUGACUUCCUGCAUGUCCCCACACCACCAUUAAAUCCCAUACGUGCACUGACAGAGAAGCAGAUGCUCAGCCAGUCAGCCACAGGGGAUGAGGACAUGCCUAGAGGAAAGUAGAGGAGAUAGGAUUCACCAACUUCCAGCCCAAAGGAGUACUGACAUUCAUUUGGACCACAUUAUGGCCCCAGGUCUCAGAAGACAGCCUGCUACUCCACAGGCCAGGAAUAGCCCUGUGUCACAGUGCCAGACAAGGGAAGAAACCACAGCCAGUGUCACAGUGGA